UACAGAGGUCCCAAGCGUUGUUCGGAUUCACUGGGCGUAAAGGGUGCGUAGGUGGCCAGGUAAGUUUGGUGUGAAAGCUCGGAGCUUAACUCCGAAAAGUCAUUGAAUACUAUCUGGCUGGAGGGUCGGAGGGGAGACUGGAAUUCUCGGUGUAGCAGUGAAAUGCGUAGAUAUCGUAAGGAAGACCAGUGGCGAAGGCGGGUCUCUGGACAGUUCCUGACGCUGAGGCACGAAGGCCAGGGGAGCAAACGGG
rnacentral:rRNA from 1 species